AGUGAACGCUGGCGGUAUGCCUAACACAUGCAAGUCGAACGGCAGCACAGUAAGAGCUUGCUCUUACGGGUGGCGAGUGGCGGACGGGUGAGGAAUACAUCGGAAUCUACUUUUUCGUGGGGGAUAACGUAGGGAAACUUACGCUAAUACCGCAUACGACCUACGGGUGAAAGCAGUGGAUCUUCGGACCUUGCGCGAUUGAAUGAGCCGAUGUCGGAUUAGCUAGUUGGCGGGGUAAAGGCCCACCAAGGCGACGAUCCGUAGCUGGUCUGAGAGGAUGAUCAGCCACACUGGAACUGAGACACGGUCCAGACUCCUACGGGAGGCAGCAGUGGGGAAUAUUGGACAAUGGGCGAAGGCCUGAUCCAGCCAUACCGCGUGGGUGAAGAAGGCCUUCGGGUUGUAAAGCCCUUUUGUUGGGAAAGAAAAGCAGCAGGUUAAUCCACCGCUGUUCUGACGGUACCCAAAGAAUAAGCACCGGCUAACUUCGUG
rnacentral:rRNA from 1 species